rnacentral:rRNA from 1 species
AAACGUAGGAGGCGAGCGUUAUCCGGAUUUACUGGGCGUAAAGCGCGUGUAGGCGGCUCGACAAGUUGGAUGUGAAAGCUCCUGGCUUAACUGGGAGAGGUCGUUCAAAACUGUCGGGCUAGAGUAUGAGAGAGGGAGGUGGAAUUCCAGGUGUAGUGGUGAAAUGCGUAGAUAUCUGGAGGAACACCAGUGGCGAAAGCGGCCUCCUGGCUCAAAACUGACGCUCAGACGCGAAAGCUAGGGUAGCAAACGGGAUUAGAGACCCCGGUAGUCCUAGCUGUAAACGAUGUGGACUUGGCGUUGGUGGUGUUAAAUCCAUCAGUGCCGGAGCAAACGCGUUAAGUCCACCGCCUGGGGACUACGGCCGCAAGGUUAAA